CCAAGUCUAGCACCAAUCACACCCAUCAUUAACCUGAACCAAUAAGAUCUGGCUUCUACAAGCACAUAGAGGAUUUCUUCAAACAAUCCCCGGUAAAACAGCGAGUAAUUAACUUAACUUCCUGAGGUAGCUCUUCUGUUCAUUCCGGUAGUCAUAAAAUGGGGACGAAGGACUACAAAUAUGAUUACUUAUUUAAAGUUGUUCUGCUUGGUGACAGUGGUGUGGGUAAAAGUGAUAUUAUAUCCAGUUUUAUCGGGAAUGAAUUCAGAACACUCGGGGCAGAUUUUGAUUUUAGAAGAAUACAGGUUGAUGGGAAGACAAUCACGGCACAGCUCUGGGAUACAGCCGCCCAGGUACGGUUGCCAGCCAUUAC